GUAGGGAAUCUUCCGCAAUGGACGAAAGUCUGACGGAGCAACGCCGCGUGAGCGAUGAAGGCCUUCGGGUCGUAAAGCUCUGUUGUUAGGGAAGAACAAGUAUCAGUUAACUGCUGGUACCUUGACGGUACCUAACGAGAAAGCCACGGCUAACUACGUGCCAGCAGCCGCGGUAAUACGUAGGUGGCAAGCGUUGUCCGGAUUUAUUGGGCGUAAAGCGCGCGCAGGCGGUUCUUUAAGUCUGAUGUGAAAGCCCCCGGCUCAACCGGGGAGGGUCAUUGGAAACUGGGGAACUUGAGUGCAGAAGAGAAGAGCGGAAUUCCACGUGUAGCGGUGAAAUGCGUAGAGAUGUGGAGGAACACCAGUGGCGAAGGCGGCUCUUUGGUCUGUAACUGACGCUGAGGCGCGAAAGCGUGGGGAGCAAACAGG
rnacentral:rRNA from 1 species